rnacentral:rRNA from 1 species
CACAUGAACUUAGCAUGACAUGCUGCUUGCAUGCUUCGGGAACUGUGAGACGGUGCUGUAUGGCUGUCGUCAGCUCGUGUUGUGAAAUGUUGGGUUAAGUCCCGCAACGAGCGCAACCCUUAUCCUUUGUUGCCAGCGGUUAGGCCGGGAACUCAAAGGAGACUGCCAGUGAUAAACUGGAGGAAGGUGGGGAUGACGUCAAGUCAUCAUGGCCCUUACGACCAGGGCUACACACGUGCUACAAUGGCAUAUACAAAGAGAAGCGACCUCGCGAGAGCAAGCGGACCUCAUAACAGUAUGUCGUCAGNCCGGAUUGGAGUCUGCAACUCGACUCCAUGAAGUCGGAAUCGCUAGUAAUCGUAGAUCAGAAUGCUACGGUGAAUACGUUCCCGGGUCUUGUAC